AGGGUUUUUAUUUUUCUUUUCUCCCUUUGUUCUUCUUUGCUCUUGGUUUGGCCGGCCAUAUGAUAGAAAUGGGCUGAUUUUUAUGCCUUUUUAUAAAGAAAUAAUAAAAUAAUAAAAGCAUGACACAUGGCAUUUCCUUAUUGGUUCAAAUUUUAAAUAAUUGACUUUUAAUUCUUCAAUUCUCCACCACACAUUUCUCAUGUUUAUCCAUUUCCAUAAUGAAUAAAAUCCCUUGGUCUUGACAAGUGUCGGGGGUGAAAAUUUACAGAUUUGCCCCUAAGGUGGCAAAAUUACCAUUUUGCCCUUAUACUCCAAAUUAUACCGAAAUUAAAAAUUUUCACUUCUAAACCUCAAAUCAUACUUCAAUACUCAAACCAUACUCCAAUAAGUCAAAUGGGGCCAAAAAAAUCUUUUCUAAAAAUUUCCAUUUUGUCCCCAAGUGGCAAAUGACCAUUUUGCCCUUUGAUAGUGAAAAUUUCGGUUUGACUCCAAAUUGAUCCUCGAACUCCAAAUUACCAUUUUGAGUCAUCCCUAGACUGUGAAACUCUUAAUUUCACCUUAAAAUCCCUAUUUUAAUUAGUUGGAGGUAUAAAUCGACUUACUUGUACUUCUAAGCACAAUACCAACUUUUAAAUAUUCUUCCGAGGCUGUUCAAAUUUACAAUCACUCUAUCAGUCUCAUGUGUAACAUGGUAGAUAAUUUAAGGCUGGGCUUGAUAGCACUACCCCCCUUAAAAUAAAAUUUUGUCUUCAAAAUUUCUCUUAUCAAAUUCAAAGGAAAUGUGGGGUAUUAUCUUUUUAUUCGAUGCUUAACUUCUCCUAUUAUCUCCUUUAUAGGGAAUCUUGAUUUGCUCCUUGUAUUUAUUUCCAACUCAGCUUGAAUACUUCACUUAUAUCUAUUAUUACUCUUUAGAAUUUGAUCAGCAGUAAUCCUCUCAAUCAUGAGUCUUUAUGUCAUUUAGGAUUACGCUAAGUGGUUUUUCAAGAUAAAGAGUCUACGCAGUCUCUUAUUUAUAAUUGGUGCUGCAGUCACUAACUAUAAACAAGACUCUACGUCAACUUCACUAUUCCGCUGUUUACCACAAGAAUUGCUUCAUUUAAUCACUUUUCAUUCAACUGAGUUAAUACAAGAAUUAUAAAUCCUCAUAGUAAUCCUUUAUAGUACUCAUUUUCUAUGCCACCAUCGUAAUCCUUUAUUCACAAAAUCCGUUACUUAACAUUGAUGUCCCUUCUCAUUAAUCUCUCAUCCUCUUUAUUUCUUAAGAUUUGACUUCGAUCAAUACAUUAUUGAUCUUAAUACUCCACAAGGUAAUUUAUUUCAAUGUAGCCAUUGGAAUCUACUUAAUUAAAACAAAUCUUUUACUUUUGGAGUUACUACCUUAGUUGUUCUCAACGGCUUGACUCCUUUUUGAGUCUAUACCACAAUUAGCAAAGUAAAUUUUCUAUCACAAAUGCAUGAUUGGGACACUGACACCAACAUAUCUAUAUUAUCUAUGUAUCUAUGUGAUAUGCCACAGUUAUCCCUUAGAGCAUAUUUCACUACCAAUAUUCACAUAUCUUUACCAUGAUAAUUUCUAGAAUAAAUUAAAACUUGUGGGGGAAAACAUACUUUACAAUUUAUAUCUCCCUCUAUAAGCAUCUCCAAAAAUCCUCAUGUCCUAUGUCCCACCUUAGGACAGUCUUCCCAUAUAGUUCAAUAGAUCACAACUUCAUCAUACGCCUAAUGAUUCAUUAUUUAUAAUAUCCCACUACUCUCAUAGUCGUAACCGAUUAUAUUUCUCAUCUUAAAAUUUUACGGUAUCAUUUUCUAAUUCUCUCCAUACUCAAAUUUAUAAUCCUUGACUUAACCCCGUUAACUGGUGAUCAAUUCAUAGUACUGCAAGGUUUAAUCGUUAUUAAAUCUAAUAAUUGCUGGAACCAUUAAUGGCUUCCUAUUUCAACCUUCAGUACUUAUUUAAAAUAAUCGAUCUUGCCACUAAGAUAAUUAUUCAUCCUUAAUACUUAUAUUACUAAUCUACCUUUGUCAUACUAAAAGAUUUUUAUACUCCUUCUGUCAUUUAAACAACUACUCCAUCAUCCGUUUAUAUUAUACAAGACAAAAGUCAACUCUUAAGCCUUUUAUACAGGGGAUUAUUAUCCUUCUUAUACUACAUCUGCCUAGGAUUACAGUAUUACAAGCUUCAACAAGGCAUUAAACAUCUUUAGGAUCAUUAUCAUCUUGAUCCUUUUUAAAGUCUGUUUCAAGUUUUUCCUUUUCUUCUCUUGCCAUUUACUUACAUUGCUCCCACAGCCUAGGGGAGAAUGUCUAACGACAGAUGCCAAUGCUUUCCCACUAUAAUAUUCUUCUUCUGCUAUCCUCAUUUUCUUCCUCCCUUUGGCAUAUUCCUCAAUUCCUUUUAAGAGAAAGUUUCUCAUGCCUUGAUUUACGUCAUUACUAUCAACACUAUCAUCAGUCUCACUAUUACUAGGACUUUCUCUUAUUUUAACUUUCGCUCCCAAAUCUAAUGGAGCCCAAUUAGUAGGUACUCUAAAUGGAUCUUCUUCUGGAUUAUUAAGUUCAGGAUACCAUUGGCUUUCAGCAGUGAAAUCUGUUGGUCCCUCACUAACACUCUGUGAAAUAUCAUAAUCACGUCCCCCCUAGACAUGUUAAGCGUAAUCCAACACACUUCAAAACCUAUAUGAAAUCAAACGACAAUCACUUAAUCUCUUAUACACCCUGAAAACAAACAGGUCUCUAUACGCAGACUCAUACAUUCUAUUCGACUUAACUUAACUCAAGCCACACAAUGUUAGUGUGAAUUUUUUAAAAUAAUUUUAAAACCAAAUAUUCUGAUUCUUAAACCCAAAAUCAUGCUCUGAUACCACUUGAAUUGUCACGACUCGAAACUCUCAUCAAGCCCGUGACAACCGCCGCGAAGCCUGGACAGACAUUUUUCACCCCGAAUGCCGAUCGAAACCUCACAAGGCUCUCGUAUCAACUUUCGCACUUCCCUGGUGAGCAAUAGUUAUCAAAUAUCGUAAUUCGAAAGAUUACGAGUCAUUUUCAAAUCAGAACAUAACAUAUUUUUUUCUUGCUCACAAGGGUAUUUUCGUCAUUUUUCGUCGAAAAUCUCAAAACUUGCUAAAAAUGUAGUAGGUAAGCAGAAAAUAUAUAUUUAGUGAUUUAAAAACAAAUUAAGUAUCUAAAACGUUCAUUUGAAGUGAAAAUUUGACCAUUUAAAUAUAAUAAAAAUAUUCAAUAAAAUAAAUUAUUUUCUUGUAAAAUAAUUUUUUAUAAAGUUAUCGGUAAAUAAUUCUUAUAACGUAAAAGUUAAUUAUAUUCAUAUAUACUAUAAAGCAAAUAACCAAAGGAUAAAAUUACUUUUACAGUGACACGUGGGCCCACAUCUAACCAAAAUGUAUCGGAAGCUGAAAACCUACAGCUUUUACCGAUUCAAGUCCAAAUGAAGGUCCUUGUCAAAGUCAGCUAACUAUGGAAUUCUCCAAGCCUAAAAUGUGAGGAAAUGAGGGUGGUGAGAUUAUAAAAUCCCAGUGAGUAAACAGACACCAUCUAAACUAUCUAAAGGCGAGUAAAUAGAGACAAGUUAAAAUAAGUCAUCAUACUGUAAUUUCAUUACCUUUCAACUCAUUUCACCCAAAUAAACAAAUAGGCUUAUGAUUUCUUGAAAAGUUUGGCUCGUGCCAAAAAUCAUUCUCAUACUCAGUUAUCAAGGAUACCUUGAUCGAGGGUUAUCCCAACCGAGUCAGCCAAGGCUGUUAAAUGUCUUUACCUCAAGAAAUACUUCAUCCAACAUCUCCCCCCCGGAGGUAAAUAUAUAAUUGGGUUACUGUGCCCCUCUCAUAGGCAGUCCACGGAAACCCCCACCACUACAGUGACUAUGGAUUAUUUUAUCUACCACCUAAUUUAUAAAAUCUUUUUUUGCAUGACAUGGUAAUUUAUCGCAACCUAGCCUCUCAAGGCUGAAUACACAGUACAAAUAAUUCUAACACCAAAAAUCAGUUUAGCCAUUCAUUCUCAUUUAUUAUCAUAAGCCAUUCAAUUUAAAACCAUAAAUUUACAACACAACCAAGCAGUCUUCAAGUACUCUAUUUUCAAAAUCAGUAUUCAAUUUUCCAGAAAAUUUAUAAAAUCACAAUUUCUCCUAAAACAUAGCAAAUUACCAUUUAAACCCAUUUUCCAUAAAAUCACACAAUUGUAUAAAACUACUCUAGAUAAUAAAGACGAUAAUAAGCUUACUCACAGUUCUAGGAGUCGAUGUACUCCUAAUCCCAGUCUCCAAGCACAAUAUUUGUACUUUUACCAGUGUAAUUUACUCACCACCUAUCCACAAUGUACAAUACAUAAUUCACCGCAUCAAUGUUUGACCAUUAUAAAAUCUAUUCAGGCUUGGUGUAUAUGCAUGAUAUGAUAUGCAACUUAUCCGACUACCGCUUAAAUGCGGUGCUGACCUAAUUCGGUCUAUUACCCGAUUAAAUGACAAUUGUGUCCGAUUUGGCUCCAAAUUGCUCCAUUUCAUUUCUAAUAUUUCAAUUCAUUAAAUGAAAUUUCAAUAAUAUAAAAUUCAGCCUAACAACCCUCACAAUUCUUCUUGAAAAUUUCGGCCAUUGUGGUGCACUAUCACUAAAAAUUUUCCCAUUCCAUUUUCUCACCAUAAAUCAUCAUUUCAUCAAUUUUUCAACCAAUUCACUUGAUCACAAAAUCAAUUCAUUACUUCUACACUUCACAUAAGGUUCGGCCAUUGAAGGUUCAUGGGAAAAAUGGAUUCUUUUCUGGUUGUUUUGUUUUUAAACAUGCUUAACUAACUAAAAAUACUAACAUAACUUAGAAUCAAAUCAAUCCAACAUCAUUCUCUCUCCAUACCCAUUCCAACCAGUCAUGAAUUCCUCAUGAAAACAUGUAAUUUAAUCAUGAAAAAUGAGGAGAAAUGAAUGGGAAAGGUAGAUCACAAGUCAAAAUCAAGAAAUUUUACCUUUUGUCACUUGUUUCCUUGAAUUUUCACCAAUUUUUCGUUGAAUUUCUCCACCUAGGGUUUUUAUUUUUCUUUUCUCCCUUUGUUCUUCUUUGCUCUUGGUUUGGCCGGCCAUAUGAUAGAAAUGGGCUGAUUUUUAUGCCUUUUUAUAAAGAAAUAAUAAAAUAAUAAAAGCAUGACACAUGGCAUUUCC
rnacentral:lncRNA from 1 species